AGGAGUGAGCCAGGUUUCAGGAGGGGGCACGCAGGAGACCAGCCCUGGAUUCAGACUUGAGCCUGGUCCACACCAGAGGCCGAUAGAAGGCUUGGAUUACAGCAGGGGCAGGUUCUUUCACGAAAUCAAAUUUCUCCACUGAUUUCUGAAUUCAUAGCAAGCUAACUAGAAGAGAUUUUUAAUUCAGAAUGCUGCACUCCAACAAACUGAGAAAAACAUUGAGGGAGGGAAUACGGAAAUUUGAUGGUAUCUACUAAGUUUGAUAUUGAGAUUUUUGUAAUAAAUGUUGUUGAAUAAAAAAGGCAUCAAGCCCCUAUAUAUGAGCUCUUUGAAAUGCCUAAAUCAGAGGGAUAAAAUGAAGAAUAAUUACAGUACACAAUUUUUGAAUUAUUGUCCAAUCAACUAAAAGUAGAAGUUUUUAACAUGCUAAAAUGGAAAGUUAUUCAACAGAAUGGAAUCCUUUAAAAUAUGACGGAACUGCCACUUAAGCAUCAGAAGUCUGCUCAGGUGUGACCCUGGGAGCCCAAACUUUUCACGGAACAGCAAGGAACAUCCCUGUGCUCCUCCUUCCCAGUCUCUUUUUUUUUUUAGAGGGAGUCUCGCUGUGUUGCCCAGGCUGGAGUGCAGUGGCGAGAUCUCAGCUCACUGCAAGCUCCGUCUCCCGGGUUCACGCCAUUCUCCUGCCUCAGCCUGCCGAGUAGCUGGGACAACAGGCGCCGGCCACCAUGCCCAGGUCAUACCACCCUUGACAAACUGCAGUCCCUACUGGCCAUUACACUGCAGAGCCGGGACAAUCAUGGAUCUCCUGUUUGGAAGAGAAUGACCCAGGACAAAAGGGGUGACCAAACCAUGGUCUAAGUAUGAUAUCUGAAGCUGCUUAAUCUGCAAAAGGAAACCCAGUGUGAGGAAUGGGAGAUGGAGAUGUGGAGGCCUAGUGUCUAAGGGCUGGCAUUCAGGGGAAGAAUUACAUUUGUCUGUAAUCUCAAAGGCUAGGAAGGAUGGAGCUGGGUGGAUUUGGGAUCACCAUGAAAAGGACCUAUGAGUAAGUCAGCCCUGCGUAGAGGUGAUCUGGAAGCCCCCAGCUGCACCCUCAAUUGGAAAGGGGCUGUGGAGGGGUCUUGAACAUGACUUAGCAAAUGGAGCUAGAUUCCUUCAAUGCUCCAUCCAGCCAUAAAUCAAUGAAAUAGCUCCCUCCUUCUUUUUCUCUGCCUUCCAAACUGAACUACUGUAUCUCUUGCAAAACCAAUUGGAUAAUUCUGUGUUAAGCUUCCUGUCUCCCACCCUGAGCAACCACAGAUGAAUGAUGGUUGUUGCAGAGAUGGGCAAGUCUGGCUUCCGAGAGCUGCCAUUGAACUUCUCUGUGCUGAGCUGGCAUUAGCUCCUCUCCUCUCCCCUCCCCACCCUGCUUAGAGAAUCCUCUCCACAUUUGGAGGUUUGUGUCACCCUUCUACAUGACCAGGGCUUCUGUCCCAUGAGAAGAGAAGGGACAGGAGGACUCUGUCUGAAGGUUCUGAGUUGUAGAUUUGCCCAUGGGCCAGACAUCAGGCUCUGUCCAUGAGGUGACCCAAGUCACCAGAGGAAAAGUGUCUGUCCCCAAUCUCCACAUUAAAUUUGCCUUGGGCCUCAA
rnacentral:antisense_RNA from 1 species